rnacentral:rRNA from 1 species
GCUUACGGCAACACCGGCCUGAGUACGCCUGAUCUCGUCCGAUCUCGGAAGCUAAGCAGGGUCGGGCCUGGUUAGUACUUGGAUGGGAGACAGCCUGGCAAUACCAGGUGCUGUAAGCU